rnacentral:rRNA from 1 species
CCUACGGGCGGCAGCAGUAGGGAAUAUUGCUCAAUGGGGGAAACCCUGAAGCAGCAACGCCGCGUGGAGGAUGAAGGUUUUCGGAUUGUAAACUCCUUUUGUUAGAGAAGAAAAUGACGGUAUCUAACGAAUAAGCACCGGCUAACUACGUGCCAGCAGCCGCGGUAAUACGGAGGGUGCAAGCGUUACUCGGAAUCACUAGGCGUAAAGGGCGCGUAGGCGGGAUAGCAAGUCAGAUGUUAAAUCCUAUGGCUUAACCAUAGAACUGCAUUUGAAACUGGUAUUCUAGAGUAUGGGAGAGGUAGGUGGAAUUCGUGGUGUAGGGGUCAAAUCCGUAGAGAUCAAGAAGAAUACUCAUUGCGAAGGCGGCCUGCUAGAACAUAACUGACGCUGAUGCGCGAAAGCGUGGGGAGCAAACAGGAUUAGAUACCCCGGUAGUC